rnacentral:rRNA from 1 species
UACGUAGGGGGCAAGCGUUGUCCGGAUUUAUUGGGCGUAAAGAGCGUGUAGGCGGCCAUACAGGUCAGCUGUGAAAACUCGAGGCUCAACCUCGAGACGUCGGUUGAAACCGUAUGGCUAGAGUCCGGAAGAGGAGAGUGGAAUUCCUGGUGUAGCGGUGAAAUGCGCAGAUAUCAGGAAGAACACCCGUGGCUAAGGCGGCUCUCUAGUACGUGACUGACGCUGAGACGCGAAAGCGUGGGGAGCGAACAGG